CAGUCGAACGAAGAUACUUAAAAAGAGAGCUUCGGCAGGAUUUUUAUUUAUCUUAGUGGCGGACGGGUGAGUAACGUGUGGGCAACCUGCCCUAUACUGGGGAAUAAUCACUGGAAACGGUGACUAAUACCGCAUGUCAUUACGGAAGGGCAUCCUUCUGUAAGAAAAGGAGUAAUUCGGUAUAGGAUGGGCCCGCAUCUGAUUAGCUAGUUGGUGAGAUAACAGCCCACCAAGGCGACGAUCAGUAGCCGACCUGAGAGGGUGAUCGGCCACAUUGGGACUGAGACACGGCCCAAACUCCUACGGGAGGCAGCAGUGGGGAAUAUUGCACAAUGGGGGAAACCCUGAUGCAGCAACGCCGCGUGAAGGAAGAAGGUUUUCGGAUCGUAAACUUCUAUCAACAGGGACGAAGAAAGUGACGGUACCUGAAUAAGAAGCCCCGGCUAACUGCGUGCCAGCAGCCGCGGUAAUACGUAGGGGGCAAGCGUUAUCCGGAAUUACUGGGUGUAAAGGGAGCGUAGGCGGCACGCCAAGCCAGAUGUGAAAGCCCGAGGCUUAACCUCGCGGAUUGCAUUUGGAACUGGCGAGCUAGAGUACAGGAGAGGAAAGCGGAAUUCCUAGUGUAGCGGUGAAAUGCGUAGAUAUUAGGAAGAACACCAGUGGCGAAGGCGGCUUUCUGGACUGAAACUGACGCUGAGGCUCGAAAGCGUGGGGAGCAAACAGG
rnacentral:rRNA from 1 species